AGAUCUGAAAUGUUUACCCUGUAGAAGAUGGAAUUAUUUCUAUUUGCAUGGAAAACUCAGAAAGCAAGGAAGAAAAGAGACAAGCUGGCAAUAUAGGAAUCUCUUCUAGGAUGAACAUUCUGCCGGUCUGGAAAAGAACAUACUUCCUUGCUGAUAGAAAGAUUCUACUCUUUCAUGCUCCAAACAGCUCUCUUCUAGAAAGCAGGUGCCCAGGAUACAUAAAGAGGAGAAGAUGCAGAAGAGAAAAUGCUAAAGGUGACUGAAUGCCAAAAGACUUGUAUAAUUGAUUGGCUUUCCUGGUUUUCUUCUCUAUUCCAAAGCAACCUGAUAGGGUGCUCCUUAUGCAGAAUGGGGGAACUUAAAAAGCUACUAAUAUGAUAAGUAUAUACACAUUGCACACACCCAGACACACACUCCCACAGUGUCAUGCUCACCCUCACAGUAACUGUUUUCAUGGCCCAAAAUUCAUGGCAAUGUCACAAACAAAGAGCUUUAUGUGAUAUGCCAUAUUACUUUCUAUUGCUGUAUAACAAAUUACCACAGUCAGUGGCUUACAGUAACACAAAUGUGUUAUCUCCAGGGAGUGGGCCAGGAGUCCAGACAGGCUUGGCUGGGUUUACUGAAGAGUUCACUUCCAAACAGGUUGUUGGAAGAAUGCAUUUCCUAUGACUACAGAAUUGAGGUCCCUGAAAAACCACAAUGAGAUACUAUCUCAUGCCAGUCAGAAAGGCAAUUAUUAAAAAGUCAGGAAAUAACAGAUGCUGGUGAGCCUGUGGAGAAAUAGGAACACUUUUACACUGUUGGUGGG
rnacentral:lncRNA from 1 species